rnacentral:lncRNA from 1 species
GACGGGGGUCUCCCCCCGGCAUCACGGGAAGGGCUGGGUGUGGUGGCGGCCUGGGUCAGGAGCAGGGUGGUCCCAGGGGGCAGGGGUCAGUACAGGUUUCUCUCCCCAGCGUCCAGUACAACAAGUUCACAGCCGCGGGUGCCCAGCAGCUGGCCUCCAGCCUGAGAAAGUGUCCUCACGUGGAGACGCUGGCAAUGUGGACACCCACGAUCCCCUUUGGUGUCCAGGAGCAUCUGCAGCAACUGGACUCCCGGAUCAGCCUGAGAUGACCCUGGCUGUGCUCUGGACAAGGUG